UAAAGGAGUGUUUCUGCUUAGCAAAAACUGGCGUUCCCAAGUCAAACAAUGAACAUGAGACACACACACACACACACACACACACACACACACACACCUAUUCACACACUACAUUGGCACAAACACAAUAAUAUAGGUAGCACUCACCUGGAGGGAACAGAGGAACAAGGGGCUAAUUAGUGAUGAUGAGAAGUUAAUUUAGUCAGACACCUCAGGUAAUAGUCUCCCCCCUCCUGUCUUCAUCUCCCUCUUUCUCACCUUCCCUCUGCCUAAAUCGUUCCCCACUCUGCAUAUUGCUUUUUACUCUCCCGCCCAACAAUUUUCAUGUUAAGACAAGGUGUCAAAUGUUCUGUUUUGAGCUUUUUUUAAAAUCCCUUCAGUGUGUCUCCAUCCCUCUGUCUUUGUAUCUAUCAGACACACAUACAAACACACAUCCACGUGUAUUCUUCAGAGAUUGCAGAGGCUGCAAAGCAGAAAAAGAGGGGAAGUGAACCGAGCGUUGUGCCCCAGUUUGGAGCUCCACUGGCGGGGUGGUCAGGCAUCCCGCAGGGCCUGUGGCUCUGGGUCUGACCUGCAGAACGUUCCAGAUCUGUGAAGAGUCACCAUCCGUAGAGGAUAGAUUUUUGUAUGCGUGUGUGUGUGUGUUUGUGUGCAUCUCGCUGAUUAGUCUGACUGGCUGCUUAUUGAUGUACUGAUUAAUGACAGAAUGACACAGACAGAUGAGGAAGAUGAGGUAGAGGAGGAGGAGAAGGAGAAGGAGGAGGAAAGUAAUGACUGAUGAUAAUCUCCUAUAUAGGGAGAGAAAAAGACAGACAUACAUAUCCCUUUAACCGUCUCAUGCAAAAGCAAAGACCAGCUAUUGUUUACAUUUUCUAGUUUCUUUCGGCAAUAAAAAAUUGUGAUUUUAAGUGACUACUCAGUUUUGUAAUUAUGAGCCUCCAUUGAAUUAUUAAGAUGAUCAGUUCAUAUCUAGACACAAGACAACAAUAAAACACUGCAUGGUGAAAAAACGAAUUUUUAUAAUAAAUCUUUCUUUACUGUCAACAGAAAUGUGUAAAUCCCAAUAAAUAAAACAAACAGAUAAACAGAAAAUAAUAAUAAACUAAAGCUUGUGUACAAUUAUUAUUAUUAUUAUUAUUAUUACAGCAUUUAUUUUGAAAUCUCAUAGCAGAACAAGCACAUGUGUGAUCAAUGCUAUCAAUAUAGGCUGCAUUCCAUUUAGAUUUGCCAUGCUGGCUUAUUGGAACACUUUCAGGUCCAGUGUGUAACAUUUAGGAGGAUCUAUUGGCAGAAAUAUAAUACAAUAUUCAUACUUGUGUUUUCAUAAGUGCAUUAUCACCUGAGUAUAGGAAUCAUUGUGUUUUUGUUUUCCAUAGAGUCCACCAUGUUGAACUGCCAUGUUUCUACAGUAGCCCAGAAGGGACAAACCAAACACUGGCUCUAAAUAGGGGCAUUCCCAUUUUUUUUCGUGGCCACUGUAAUAUUUCCUUUUUGUUUGGACGGGGAGGGGGAAGCGGAGGAGUGCAACUACGCUGCUAGAUGCUGUUAAACCCUAAUUAAUUAAUUCAUUAUUAAUUUAAUGUACAGAACCAUUAGCAAAGAUAUACUUCAAGUAUCAGAAGUAGAAGGACUCAUCAUGCAGGUGUCCCUGGUGUAUUUUAUUAAUUUCAUUGAAGUAAGUAUUAUAAGUGAUGCUUUACUGAGCACGCAGCACUUACCAGGUUGAGAUGGAGCUAAUUCUUACUACUUUAUUCACUGUAGGGUAGUUUAAUCAACAACAAUGCAUCAUAUUUUACAAGAUUAUUAUAGAUUUAAUAUAAUCUACGUACUGUGUAAAAUCUUAAUCUGUGGUUACUUAAACUGUCAGACAGUGGGGUAAAAAGUAUAAAAAAAAAAAACUUCUGAAAUGUAUUAAAGUAGCAUAAAACUGAAAUGCUCAAAUAAAGAAUCUUAAAAUUGCACUUGAAUAAAUGUAUUUUGUUGCAGUCCACCAUUGCUAAUUCAUUCUGUUCAGUAAGCCCUCUAAAACUUAAGUACGGCAAUAAAAUUACCCAUAAAAAACCUCCCCGAAAACAUGCCACAUGUCAGAGAGACUUUUCUGUCACUAACUAUAUGGAAGGAAGCCACCUGAAAAGAUCUGCUUUUUAAAUACUGUUUGGGAGUCGUAGGGAGUGUUUUACAUACUUCAUCAUACAGGUCUACCGAAUGAAACCAUUAAAGGAAUAUUCCUGCUGUAUGUGUUUGCUAUGUUCUACGGUCUUUGUGUCUUGUUGUUCGGAGACUCUGCUGUCUUUGAUUGUAUGUUACCUUGUAUUGUUUAAGUCCUCCUGGGGCAUUAUAAUCCGCAGUUUUGUGUGUGUUUACAUGUUUGUCUGUCUACAUGGGUUUGUAUCAGUGGCUACAUGUGUGUUCAUGUAUACACCCGUGUGUGUGUGUGUGUGUGUGUGUGUGUGUGUGUGUGUUGUUAGUGUAUAGUCCCACGGUGACUGUUCCCCUGCUGUAGACGCCUGUUCUGGCGAUAGCAUUGUCUCCAUGUCCAAAGACCUGCCGGCUGCCCUAUUCCACCACGUCUUUAUCAUGCUAAUACAGAGAAAGAAGGAACGAGGGAGGAGGGAGGAGGGGAGCAGGGAGAAGGGAGAGGGAACGAUAGCUCGACAAACAGAGAGAAGGGGUAAUCUUUCCCCUCCUUUCUCCGUCCUCGUCUCUUCAUUCUCACCACCUCCUCCGUUCUCUCUAUCCCCCUCUACUUCCCUUUCUUCUCGUCCCCGCACCCUCUUCAUCUGCCGCUUUCUUAUCUUCCUCCUUACUUCUUUGAUAAUCCCUCCGAACAUUGUCUUCAUAA